AAACCAACAGGGAUUGCCCCAGUAACGGCGAGUGAAGCGGCAAGAGCUCAAAUUUGAAAUCUGGCCUCCCCCGGGGGCCCGAGUUGUAAUUUGCAGAGGAUGCUUCGGGUGCGGCCGCCGUCUAAGUUCCUUGGAACAGGACGUCAGAGAGGGUGAGAAUCCCGUCUUGGGCGGGCGGUCCGCGCCCGUGUGAAGCUCCUUCGACGAGUCGAGUUGUUUGGGAAUGCAGCUCUAAGCGGGUGGUAAAUUUCAUCUAAAGCUAAAUAUUGGCCGGAGACCGAUAGCGCACAAGUAGAGUGAUCGAAAGGUUAAAAGCACCUUGAAAAGGGAGUUAAACAGCACGUGAAAUUGUUGAAAGGGAAGCGCUUGCGGCCAGACUCGGGGGCGGGGUUCAGCGGGUGCUCGUCGCCCGUGUAUUCCUCGUUUCCCGGGCCAGCAUCAGUUUCGACGGCCGGUCAAAGGCCCCCGGAAUGUGUCGUCUCUCGGGACGUCUUAUAGCCGGGGGUGCAAUGCGGCCCGUCGGGACUGAGGAACGCGCUUCGGCUCGGAUGCUGGCGUAAUGGCCGUAAGCGGC
rnacentral:rRNA from 2 species